CUCCUGAGCUCACCUUUCAGGAGCUAUACCCAGUGACUGCAGUAUGGCUUAACUACAUGUUUUUGUAACUGUUUUGGCUGCAGUGUUCAGAGGUUUGUGUUGUGGGCCAAGCAGUCCUGUCUGGAUGUGAAACAGCUGAAGAGGUUGAUGCUGAAGGCUGUUCUCACCCCUUGAGAGGAGUCCAGCCUCUUCUAAAGAUCAGAGCCUGCCCAGACUCAGCUGUGUUUGUCUAUUAACAGAUGAGAUUACAGCUCUGAGAUGAGGUCCUGCUUAUGCUGCACUAAAAGAGAGCAGCAUUAUGCCUGGAUAAGGAUAUAGAAGAUGAAGCUGUGAACUGUGAUAGAGAUAUAAGC